rnacentral:snoRNA from 1 species
UCCUUUGGUUCAUAAGAGUGAUGAUUGGGUGUUCACGCUUUUGUGUGAGAUGUGCCUCCCUCUAAACCUUGUUAUGAUAUGGGCACAUUACCCAUCUGAC